AUGGCCCUAUUCCGGCUGCAGCUCGGCCUUCGUACCGCCUACUCCGGCUUCAGCUCGGUGUGGCUUCUCCAACUUCAUCUGGAUGGUGAUGUACCGACAACCGUACCGACAACCAGGGACUGCGGCGAUGGGGGGUCUCGUAGGUGUCUUGGCCUUGUGGGUCUUGGGGACUCACUUGAUGUACAUGCAGGAUUACUGGAGGACCUGGCCCAGAGAGCUGCGUGACUUCUUUUUCCUGGGUGAUCUCUUCUCCAAAGUCUCCGUUUUUGCCUUCUGUACCUCCUUGACAUUAGCCAUCACCCAGCACCAGAGUCUCAAAGACAUCCAACAGCUCCUACCUCUCUUGUGUUGGGAGUUUCAUUUCUUUCAAAUGGGCCUUUCUACUCACCACUACUGGGCUGACUUUGCCGACAUUGGCAUCCUCAGUGAAUGA